rnacentral:misc_RNA from 1 species
CCGAGUUAUCAACUCCCAAACCCCUGUGAACAUACCUAAACGUUGCUUCGGCGGGACCGCCCCGGCGCCCACGGCGGCCCGGAACCAGGCGCCCGCCGGAGGACCCAAACUCUUGUUUAAUUUAUAGCGGCAUAUUCUGAGUUUCAUAAAAAAUGAAUCAAAACUUUCAACAACGGAUCUCUUGGCUCUGGCAUCGAUGAAGAACGCAGCGAAAUGCGAUAAGUAAUGUGAAUUGCAGAAUUCAGUGAAUCAUCGAAUCUUUGAACGCACAUUGCGCCCGCCAGUAUUCUGGCGGGCAUGCCUGUUCGAGCGUCAUUUCAACCCUCAGGCCCCCCUAGCGGGGGACUGGUGUUGGGGACCGGCCCCGGCCGCCCCCGAAAUGCAGUGGCGACCUCGCCGCAGCCUCCCCUGCGUAGUAGCACAACCUCGCACCGGAGCGCGGAGACGGUCACGCCGUAAAACGCCCAACUUCUCAGAGUU